rnacentral:rRNA from 1 species
AGCGGCGAGUGAAGCGGCAAGAGCUCAGAUUUGAAAUCGUGCUUUGCGGCACGAGUUGUAGAUUGCAGGUUGGAGUCUGUGUGGAAGGCGGUGUCCAAGUCCCUUGGAACAGGGCGCCCAGGAGGGUGAGAGCCCCGUGGGAUGCCGGCGGAAGCAGUGAGGCCCUUCUGACGAGUCGAGUUGUUUGGGAAUGCAGCUCCAAGCGGGUGGUAAAUUCCAUCUAAGGCUAAAUACUGGCGAGAGACCGAUAGCGAACAAGUACUGUGAAGGAAAGAUGAAAAGCACUUUGAAAAGAGAGUGAAACAGCACGUGAAAUUGUUGAAAGGGAAGGGUAUUGCGCCCGACAUGGGGAUUGCGCACCGCUGCCUCUCGUGGGCGGCGCUCUGGGCUUUCCCUGGGCCAGCAUCGGUUCUUGCUGCAGGAGAAGGGGUUCUGGAACGUGGCUCUUCGGAGUGUUAUAGCCAGGGCCAGAUGCUGCGUGCGGGGACCGAGGACUGCGGCCGUGUAG